UGGGGAAUAUUGCACAAUGGGGGAAACCCUGAUGCAGCGACGCCGCGUGAAGGAAGAAGUAUCUCGGUAUGUAAACUUCUAUCAGCAGGGAAGAUAGUGACGGUACCUGACUAAGAAGCCCCGGCUAACUACGUGCCAGCAGCCGCGGUAAUACGUAGGGGGCAAGCGUUAUCCGGAUUUACUGGGUGUAAAGGGAGCGUAGACGGUGUGGCAAGUCUGAUGUGAAAGCCCGAGGCUUAACCUCGCGGAUUGCAUUUGGAACUGGCGAGCUAGAGUACAGGAGAGGAAAGCGGAAUUCCUAGUGUAGCGGUGAAAUGCGUAGAUAUUAGGAAGAACACCAGUGGCGAAGGCGGCUUUCUGGACUGAAACUGACGCUGAGGCUCGAAAGCGUGGGGAGCAAACAGGAUUAGAUACCCUGGUAGUCCACGCCGUAAACGAUGAGUGCUAGGUGUCGGGGAGGAAUCCUCGGUGCCGCAGCUAACGCAAUAAGCACUCCACCUGGGGAGUACGACCGCAAGGUUGAAACUCAAAGGAAUUGACGGGGGCCCGCACAAGCGGUGGAGCAUGUGGUUUAAUUCGAAGCAACGCGAAGAACCUUACCAAGGCUUGACAUCCCGAUGACCGCUCUAGAGAUAGAGUUUCUCUUCGGAGCAUCGGUGACAGGUGGUGCAUGGUUGUCGUCAGCUCGUGUCGUGAGAUGUUGGGUUAAGUCCCGCAACGAGCGCAACCCUUAUCCUUAGUAGCCAUCAUUGAGUUGGGCACUCUAGGGAGACUGCCGUGGAUAACACGGAGGAAGGUGGGGAUGACGUCAAAUCAUCAUGCCCCUUAUGUCUUGGGCUACACACGUGCUACAAUGGCUGGUAACAGAGUGAAGCGAGACGGCGACGUUAAGCAAAUCACAAAAACCCAGUCCCAGUUCGGAUUGUAGUCUGCAACUCGACUACAUGAAGCUGGAAUCGCUAGUAAUCGCGAAUCAGAAUGUCGCGGUGAAUACGUUCCC
rnacentral:rRNA from 1 species